UCCAGAUAGGAUCGUCAGCUCUUGCGAGUAGCGCUUUUAGUAGUUCAACACCCAAUAUCCUCUCAUCGAAUUAGCGACGAAUGAUUACUGCACCUGAACCAUCAUACACAUAGAGGAGUCUUCAACAUAAG
rnacentral:misc_RNA from 1 species